rnacentral:rRNA from 1 species
AUACCAGCACCCCGAGUGGUCGGGACGAUUAUUGGGCCUAAAGCAUCCGUAGCCGGUUUUACAAGUCCUCCGUUAAAUCCAGCUGCUUAACAGAUGGGCUGCGGAGGAUACUAUAAGACUAGGAGGCAGGAGAGGCAAGCGGUACUCAGUGGGUAGGGGUAAAAUCCGUUGAUCCAUUGAAGACCACCAGUGGCGAAGGCGGCUUGCCAGAAUGCGCUCGACGGUGAGGGAUGAAAGCUGGGGGAGCAAACCGGAUUAGAUACCCGGGUAGUCCCAGCUGUAAACGAUGCAGACUCGGUGAUGGACUAGCUUUAUGCUAGUCCAGUGCCGCAGGGAAGCCGUUAAGUCUGCCGCCUGGGUAGUACGGUCGCAAGACUGAAACUUAAAUGAAUUGGCGGGG